CAGCAGCCGCGGUAAUACGUAUGGUGCAAGCGUUAUCCGGAUUUACUGGGUGUAAAGGGAGCGCAGGCGGUGCGGCAAGUCUGAUGUGAAAGCCCGGGGCUCAACCCCGGUACUGCAUUGGAAACUGUCGUACUAGAGUGUCGGAGGGGUAAGCGGAAUUCCUAGUGUAGCGGUGAAAUGCGUAGAUAUUAGGAGGAACACCAGUGGCGAAGGCGGCUUACUGGACGAUAACUGACGCUGAGGCUCGNAAGCGUGGGGAGCAAACAGGAUUAGAUACCCUGGUAGUCCACGCCGUA
rnacentral:rRNA from 1 species